UACGUAGGGGGCUAGCGUUGUCCGGAAUCAUUGGGCGUAAAGCGCGUGUAGGCGGUCCGGUAAGUCCGCUGUGAAAGUCGGGGGCUCAACCCUCGGAUGCCGGUGGAUACUGUCGGGCUUGAGUACGGAAGAGGCGAGUGGAAUUCCUGGUGUAGCGGUGAAAUGCGCAGAUAUCAGGAGGAACACCUGCGGUGUAGACGGCUUUCUGGACCAUUGUUGACGCUGAGACACGAAAGCGUGGGUAGCAAACAGG
rnacentral:rRNA from 1 species